AUGAGAUUUGUUUAAUGUGAAAGAAACUAGGACCGAAUAUACAGACCUGAAAGGCCAGAGGCUGUUUUCAUGGCCUUUUGUCUGCAUUUGUUGUCGUGCAAAUCCAAUUUCAGCACAACUUUCUGU